rnacentral:rRNA from 1 species
ACGGAAGGCAGCAGUGGGGAAUAUUGCACAAUGGGGGAAACCCUGAUGCAGCGACGCCGCGUGAGUGAAGAAGUAUUUCGGUAUGUAAAGCUCUAUCAGCAGGGAAGAAAAUGACGGUACCUGACUAAGAAGCCCCGGCUAACUACGUGCCAGCAGCCGCGGUAAUACGUAGGGGGCAAGCGUUAUCCGGAUUUACUGGGUGUAAAGGGUGCGUAGGUGGCCAAGUAAGUCAGAUGUGAAAACCCGGGGCUUAACUCCGGGAUUGCAUUUGAAACUGCAUGGCUAGAGUGCAGGAGAGGUAAGUGGAAUUCCUAGUGUAGCGGUGAAAUGCGUAGAUAUUAGGAGGAACACCAGUGGCGAAGGCGGCUUACUGGACUGUAACUGACACUGAGGCACGAAAGCGUGGGGAGCAAACAGGAUUAGAUACCCUGGUA